rnacentral:lncRNA from 10 species
GUAAGGAGGGAAGCAGGCUGGGAGGGAGGGGCUCCAGCCCCAGGGUUGGGGUGGAGGAGACGAGGCCCCCUUUGCCCAUAAGACUCUAGGCUCCUUCCAAGGAGGGCAAGAAGCCUUUUUUUUUUUUUUUUUUUUUUUUUAAACCCAGGGCCCAGGAAAGUUAUGCAAAGCAAUUACUCAACUUAGGCAGCCCAGGGAGGGACCACCAUCUUCCAACUGCUCCACCUCCCACUACGUUUGUCUUUGCCUCCUUUCCCUUCCCAUCAGGGUUCAUGACCAAGGAGACGCAAUUCUGUGAGCCUAAGUCUCUGCUGGUCUGGUCCUCUUGGCUCUCUUGAGAGACCCAAGUACAGGUGACUUCCCUGACUCUGGCUGGGCUCCGUAAGCUGUCUUGAGGCUACGCAGCGUCUAAGGCGUUAUCCUUAACCUCCAGCUCCCUCCGGCUUUGCUUUUCUCUCUCUUCUUGACUCUUCUGAAGUUUUUCCUUGUUCCUGUCUCUCUUCCUCCUGUCUGCUGCAGCCUCACACACCAGACAGUUCUCAAGAUGUCCUUCGGGGGAGCCUCCAGGAAGGAAAGAGACAAAGGAGAUAGAAGAAGUGGAAUAAGGGGAAAGAUAAGAACUGGAAAGCUGAACCAUAGCCCAGACCCAAGCAGGAGAAAGAGCAAGAAAUGCCUAUGAGAAAGCCGGAAAGAAACCCCUGGAAUUUGGAAGAAAAUGUCUAAAAGGGAAUGGCAAGGAACCUGAGGAACCAGCGUGAGGAAAACCUGGAUGAUCUGACGUCUUCCUCACUUUAUCCCUACCUGUCCACGCCUCCAUCCAUCCACCCAUCCAUCACUGAUCAAGCUCUCACUAUGUCUAUAGUGUAGAAGGUGCCACCAAAUGCAAUGGAACCUCUUGUCUCAUGUGUCUACUUGCAUCUUUAAGUUGAUACACGGAAGGCACAGUCCAAGCACAGGAUACUGGAAGCUAUGGAGGUACAGUGGCCUCUGAGCAAACUGAAAACUCUCUAUCACUAAAGGGUUGGGCAUACAGGGUAUCUCCUCUGCUCUGCCACCUACCUUGAGGAUGCUUUACAUGUGGCUAAAAGUGGAGGCAGAGAUAUUUGGAUAAAUAAAUGCUAGAGAAUUGGAAAUUCCUAGGACAAGUCAAUUUGGAUAUGUCUAUGUCAUCCUUUUUUUUCUAAGAGACACGUAACUCUGAUCCUUAAGGAGUUAGAGAGUUCCCAUAGCUUAGGGUCUGGAAGCCAUAUUCCUUUUUAUGUAACAUCCUUGAAUAUGCUACUCGUAUACCCUAAAUUUACUCUGUAAUUUUUUUUUUUUUAUUUGAGAGGGAGUCUCACUCUGCUGCC